AGAGUUUGAUCCUGGCUCAGGAUGAACGCUAGCGGCAGGCUUAACACAUGCAAGUCGAAGGGCAGCGAGGGGAGUGCUUGCACUCCCUGUCGGCGACUGGCGCACGGGUGAGUAACACGUAUGCAACCUGCCCUCCACAGGGGGACAACCUUCCGAAAGGGAGGCUAAUCCCGCGUAAAUCCCGCGGAGGCAUCUCCGUGGGAGGAAAACUCCGGUGGUGGAGGAUGGGCAUGCGGCGCAUUAGGCAGUCGGCGGGGUAACGGCCCACCGAACCGACGAUGCGUAGGGGUUCUGAGAGGAAGGUCCCCCACACUGGUACUGAGACACGGACCAGACUCCUACGGGAGGCAGCAGUGAGGAAUAUUGGUCAAUGGGCGGGAGCCUGAACCAGCCAAGUCGCGUGAGGGAAGACGGCCCUACGGGUUGUAAACCUCUUUUGUCAGGGAGCAAGAACAGGCACGCGUGCCUGACUGAGAGUACCUGAAGAAAAAGCAUCGGCUAACUCCGUGCCAGCAGCCGCGGUAAUACGGAGGAUGCGAGCGUUAUCCGGAUUUAUUGGGUUUAAAGGGUGCGCAGGCGGUCUGUUAAGUCAGCGGUAAAAGCCCGGGGCUCAACCCCGGCGAGCCGUUGAAACUGGCGGACUAGAGAGGAAGAGAAGUAGGCGGAAUGCGCGGUGUAGCGGUGAAAUGCUUAGAUAUCGCGCAGAACUCCGAUUGCGAAGGCAGCCUACCGGCUUCUAUCUGACGCUCAGGCACGAAAGCGUGGGUAUCGAACAGGAUUAGAUACCCUGGUAGUCCACGCAGUAAACGAUGAAUGCUAGCUGUCCGGGACGAAUGAGUCCUGGGUGGCACAGCGAAAGCGUUAAGCAUUCCACCUGGGGAGUACGCCGGCAACGGUGAAACUCAAAGGAAUUGACGGGGGCCCGCACAAGCGGAGGAACAUGUGGUUUAA
rnacentral:rRNA from 1 species